GAAAUGAUUAAAAUGUAUAAGUCGUAUAUUUUCUAUAACUGGCAAACUUUUAAAUUGUAUAACACUGUCUUAUGCCAGACUUGCUUACUAUGUGGACUUAUACUUAAUAUGUGCACGGCAAAUGUCAAGCUUGCUAGCGCAUGUAUAACAGCAAUGGGUUAUUCCUCCCUAUCCCUAAUUAUACAGGAAACUAAUAAAUAGAAAAAGUAUCAAUACCCACGUUUCUUUUCCUGUACAAUCCCUAUAGGACAAACUGUUAUUUUCUGAUUAUUUCAAAUGUUUCUUUUUGACUUACCUAAGGGUUGUUACACGCUGCCCCACUGGAGUUCAGCCUCUCUUCCUUGGGAUUAUUCAGAACACGGCCCUGUGCAAAGAUUCCCCCUUUUAAAAAAAAAAUGUUUAUUCUUUAUUUUUACUGUGCAUAAAAUAACAGAAGAGCUUGCGAUGCCAUAACAGCAAGUGCGGGCACAAUCAUAUCAACAGAGCAAAACAUAAACAUGGCAUUAAUAUAACAGCACAAUUUUUAAUGAUAUAUGAAGAAUCAGG